AACGAACGCUGGCGGCAUGCCUAACACAUGCAAGUCGAACGAGGUCUUCGGGUCUAGUGGCGCACGGGUGCGUAACGCGUGGGAAUCUGCCCUUUGGUUCGGAAUAACAGUUGGAAACGACUGCUAAUACCGGAUGAUGACGAAAGUCCAAAGAUUUAUCGCCAGAGGAUGAGCCCGCGUAGGAUUAGCUAGUUGGUGUGGUAAAGGCGAACCAAGGCGACGAUCCUUAGCUGGUCUGAGAGGAUGAUCAGCCACACUGGGACUGAGACACGGCCCAGACUCCUACGGGAGGCAGCAGUGGGGAAUAUUGGACAAUGGGCGAAAGCCUGAUCCAGCAAUGCCGCGUGAGUGAUGAAGGCCUUAGGGUUGUAAAGCUCUUUUACCCGGGAUGAUAAUGACAGUACCGGGAGAAUAAGCUCCGGCUAACUCCGUGCCAGCAGCCGCCCGUAA
rnacentral:rRNA from 1 species